rfam:Pan troglodytes isolate Yerkes chimp pedigree #C0471 (Clint) chromosome 8, whole genome shotgun sequence.
GCCGGGCUUGGUGGCUCAAGCCUGUAAUCCCAGCACUUUGGGAGGCCGAGGCGGGAGGAUCACCUGAGGUCAGGAGUUCAAGACAAGCCUGGCAAACAUGGUGAAACCCCGUCUCUA